CGGGCGGGCCGGAGGGGGCGUGGCCUAAGGCCGAUCGGGCGGGAGGGGCGGGGCCUGGCCGGAGGGGGCGGGGCCUCUCCGCGUGCACUCUCGGAAGAGCAGCCCCGCCAACGCUCAGACCCGGGAAAGCAGUCGUCGCUGCCGCCACCGCCUCCUCAGUCAUGCCGAAGCACGAGUUCUCCGUGGACAUGGCCUGUGAAGGCUGCUCUAAUGCGGUCACUCGGGUCCUCAACAAGCUGGGAGGAGUUCAGUUUGACAUUGACCUGCCCAACAAGAAGGUUUGCAUCGACUCUGAGCACAGCGUGGACACUCUGCUGGAGACCCUGGGGAAAACAGGAAAGGCCGUUUCCUACCUCGGCCCCAAGUAGCAAGGGCCUGGGCCCCUGGCCCGCAGGAUGGACCAAAGCGGGCAGCCGCAUUCUCAGACUCCCUCACAGCAUAGCCCUCCUAGCUGUCACCGCCCAUGGAGUGCAUUUGAUGGGGCAGUUACAAUGAUUGUCGCAUCCCUGAUGUGGUUCAGUGCUCCCACUGUACUUGAGAAGGAUGAGGCCUGGAGAGGGGAAGUGACUUGCCCAAAGCCCCACACAGGCCUGACCCUCUCCUGCCUUCCAGACAGACCUGGGGCCUGGCAGUCCUGCUCAGCGACCGGAGUUCCUGCAGAGACCCUCACUCGCCCUCCUCCUCCCUAG
rnacentral:lncRNA from 1 species